CCCACCCUUGGGGCCCCAGGGACAUGGUGCUGGCCACUUCUGAGAGUGGCGCGGGGCCUGCAGCACCAACGGGGGCAAUCCUGUGGGCCAGAUCCAAAGCCCUGAGGGACCGGAUCCGGCCCAUAGUUUGCCUACCCCUGCUCUAGUUCCUAUUGCGUAAGUCAAAGAUUCAGCUUAGGGUGCAUUUUAAUUGUGUUAGAGAAUAAUUUAAUAGCAAUAACUUGAGAAAUAUUCACACUUAGAGAACUGAGCCUGGACGCUCUUUGCAGCAGACUAUGUGCAUUUCCCGUUGUAGCAUUGAGCACAUUUUUGGGACUUAAAUAAUAAAUCCUCCUCCGCUGUAGGCUGCAGCUCAUUAGGGAAUAGCAUGUCAAAUACCAGUAAGCAGGUCCAACACUCCAUUGGUUAGAGGGCAGCAGUGCACAUACUGAGACAGGCAAGAGUUAAUGUCAUAUAGGUAAAGUGAAAGUAAGCCACUGGAUGAGAAGAUAAAGGACUGAAAGAUAUUCCUCAGAUGGUGGAGAAACAGAAUAUCCUCCUGGGGAGAUGCUCUCGUAGUUGAUGCUAUUAACAAUGUGUUACUUAAAAUUCUUUCAACUUUCUACCCAAGACAAAAAUAUCAGCAUUUUAUGUUAUUUAUUCCCCCCCCCCAUAUUGAUUUUUCUCAUUGCGUAACUUCCUUCAACAAGACAUCUCAAAAACCAGUGCUUUUCUUGGACAAAGACAAAAAAAAUGAGCAUCAAAUCAGACCUUUCGUUUGCCUCUAUAGUUAAUCCAAUCUCCUUUGAGUUUAUGACUGUUUUAGUGGAGCACUUUUCAAAUUAAUUUAGGCUCACAUGUUUUUCCCCUCCUACAUCCCCCAGUCAGCAGGAACUUUUUUGGCUGGUGUUAUAUAAAGUUAUGUCAAUGUGGACAUUCUGUUUUAUCUGAAGGUGCUGAGGUUCAUGGCAAUUCUGAUGUCUUCCAGGAACAGCUUCCACAGUAAUGGGGUAGUUGCUGAGUAAGCUGUCUCCAACACUCAGACUCAUCCUUGAUAUAAACAAUUUAAUUGUUCCAGGGAAACACAGCUGUUGUGAGAUAUGAUGAUCACAGAGCAUGACAUGAUCUUUCAGAUUGACUUCACCGACGAAAUUAUGCCCUGCUGUCUAGUUGUCCUCUUUGCUUAUAUGACUUACAAUGGCCUCUCUUACCAGCAAUGUGAUAUGGAUACAACUCACAGUUCAGCUGCAUUGCCCACCAAACCCUCAUAUUAUAGUACUUAAACUAAGGCCUUGUCUUCACUGCUAAAAAAGGUAUGUGUUUUUUACCUCAGGGUAACUAACAUGAAUGAGCUAUCCAGAGGUAAAAAACACAGUAAAGACCAGACACUUCAGUUUUACCAUGAGGUAAAUUUGAUGAGAUCAACCUAUGGAGGAAAUAUGGAGCUGUUCACUUUACGAUAAAACUGAAGUGGCCAGGUCUUCGCAGUGUUUUAUCUCAGGACAGCUCAUCUGUGUUGGUUACCAUUAAGUUUAAAAAAAAAAAAAAAAAAAAACAAACACACACAUGAAAACACACACCUUUUUAGUGGUGAAGACAAGGCCUAAGUUGCAGCCUGCCUGUGAUUGCCCCCGACAGCUUGAUUCCUUUUUAUAUGCCUAUUCUUGUACUGAACUUAACAUUGUAGUAUCUCAGACCAAUCCAAGGAGGGGAAAAAAAAAAAAAAAAAGUGACAAACUCAUGUAUGGUCGCUUCUCUUAACUGUAAAUUACAUUUGUUUUUAUAAAACGCUGGUUUGCUAUGUGCUACUGUUUGUGGAGACUAAGUUGAAGUUAGUUUCCUUACUUGAUCAACUAGCUAGUUCACAACAUUCUAUUGCCAAAUUACUAGGUAAUAAACAUUUUGUCCAAUUUUUUGACAGAGUGCUAGCUGUAGCAUCCUGGAUGUGCUAAUAAUAAUCAUCAACAACAAACAACACAGGACUUAAGCUAUUUCUGUCAAAAGUGUUUUGUUGGGAGCAACUCUUUCCCAUUAAGUAGAAUCACUUUUCUCUAUGUUACCAAGCCUUUGGUAGACAUUCCAGACAGAAGUCAUGCAUACAAAAUAC